ACUAGUUUUGAAAUGAGAGUACAAGAUAGACAGAGAGCACGUAAGUCUUGAAUAGUAAAGUAAUGCGACAAUAAAUAUGACACAUAUCUUCUUAACGUUGAAGAAUACCUAAUAAGAUAUAUCUUUAAACACAAACAAUAUUUCCAUCGCGCAAUUGUAGCUUGGUAAGUAGCCUGCAUACGUUUAAAAAUAUUCUCACCUCUUGUUGAGCCUGCGUAGUCGCUGGCAACGCAUGCUGCUCGCUGUUCAUCUUCGUUCACUGAAGGCUACCAAUUAAGUGCUUCUGACAUAAUUCACUUUUCAUCCUGCAGAACACAUGACUCGAAUUUAAAUCUUAACUUCAAUAACCCCUAUUGGAACUAUCGAAAUUAAAAAAAAAAAAGAGAGAAAAAAAAGGAGAAAAAAAAAAAAAACUAUCUUUAUAAAGCUUCUUAAUGUCGCUCGAGUCGCGUCAUUUCCUUACGAAUGCCAUAACGUCUCAGCACGUAAAAACCCCUCGUAUAACUAUUAGAUUUCAUGAGGAAUAAUAUAAGAGUCUAACAUUAAAUCGGUAGGAUUUGUAUUGGAAAUCGAAGAAAAACCAAGUGUCACGACGUUUAACCUCGAAAAUGGUCGAUUCCAGCGUAUAAUACUCGGUCGGCUAUGAGAAAAUCGCGGACGUCAUCGCUCUAUGUGGAAAUUUUCCGAUACGCGCGAUCCGACGUGGCGAUCGAUCGGAGUAAACACGAAAGUAGCCACGAAAAAGGCGAUCCUCGCGCGAAUUAAAUCGAUCACGUCUUCUUAACCUCCAGAAAUUUUUUUUUAUUCGACGAAGCGGGAAAUGGGUGAGUCAUCGGCUAGCAUCUUCGGGAGCGUGACAAAGGGGCCGCGUAAAAGCGAUGAAGAAAGCGGCCUGCGUUACAGCGGCAACGACAACGGCAACGACAACGACAACGGCAACGGCAGAAGCACCUCGUACGAGUACGCAGCUGUGCUUCAAUGUCGGCCACGAUCAACCGGCGUAGAAUUCCCCGCGCUCGAAGGAAUCUCCGCGUUUACCAUCUUCUGGUAAUGAAAGCACGAUCAAUUAGUACUAUGGAUAUAACACAUGUACGUCGAUGACAGUACGUAAGCACGACUGAUUUAAAUAUGCAUUUGCCGGAAGUCGAUUUAACUAUCUUUUUUGCAAAGACGCCCUCGGAUUGGUUAAAAAUCAAUGAUGUAUUCCAACGAACCAAUUAUAUCGUGUUUUGUAAAAAGUACCUGACUGUAGAUGGUGUUCCAGUUGUUACUUAUUUCUGGAAUACAUAGAUUCAUCUAUACUUAUAUAAUUAUAGCGUUACAGUCGAGGUUACCGACAGAGGCAGCACUGGCGUUCGACUACAGGCACUCUAAAAAAUCGAUAAUUCUUCUUAAUGUUAGUCUUAUCCGAUUUAUAUCGCUUAUUAUUUGAAGAUAUAAAUUUGUACAAUUAAUUCUUUCUUUCUUUUUUUCAUAAAAUCAAGUCAAUUUUUUGAUGUUUGUGACAAAUACGAUUUUAUGAAUCACGUGGUAAAACAGACUGAAUUUAAUUGUGCGAUAAACGUGAUUAGAGAUUUUGAAGGGAAAAAAAGAAAGGGAAAUAUAACGUGUGUGAAAAAUUAUUGUACUUAGAUGAAUAUAAAAAGAAAGAAAAUAUUUAGAAUACGCCAUUUUUUUUAUAGACCUUUUUUUUAUUUUACCUCAUUUUAUUUCGUCGAAAUAACGUAAUGCCUUCUUUUGUUUUUUGUUUUUUUUUCUUAGAUGCGAGAGUAUGUUUUAUAUAUUUGUUGUAUUUUCUUAAAUUUAUUACUAAAAAUAUUCAUCGGUAUUUACACUUACAUUUACAAAGAUUUGUACAAGAAUCGAUUUGGCCAGACACAAAUAUGGAAUGAUAUGAAUUACUUAAAUAAUCACAUACAUAUUUCCAUUCAUUCGUAGAAUCCUUUAAAAAUUGUAGACAAAGGUGAACAGAAAUUUUUCAUUGAUAAAAAUUAAAAUAUUUAUAAAUUAUCAAUUAUAAUCUGCCUUGUAAUCUUUCUUCUAUUUUUAAUUUUUUUUUCUUUUUUUUUCUUUUUUUUUUUUUCAAAAAUCACUCUCGUCGACAAUUUCCAAAGUAUUGAGAAAAAACAUACACACAAAUAAUAGAAUAUUCAAAGUUUGUAUGAUUGGCAUUUCUUUGUGCAUAAUGAUUAUUAAUUUUUCAUUAUAUAUCUGAGUUUUUCAUAAUAAGAAAGAGAAAUGAUUCGAAUCACUUCAAUUUAUUAAUUUUCUUUCUUUUUUUUUCUUUUUUUUUUUUUUUUUUUUUUUUUUUGAUGAUUCUUAAUAUCUAUAUUAAGAAAUAAAAUUCAUAAAUGAUCGGAUAUAUUCAAUUCAUAAUUAUCGAAAUAAAUUUACAAUUAAAGGUCACUUAAUUUAGAGCGACAACAAAUUGAAAAAAAAAAAAAAAAAAAAAGAAAACCACAUUAAGACGUUGACUAGUAUGUUAAUAUAUACAAUAAUUGUUAAUAAACAUGUACAACAACUUGAUCGUUAAAUAAAAUUGAAUAUUUAUACAUAACUUUCUUAUAGUUAUUUGGUGUCACUGUAAAUUUCUCCUCUCAUUAUACUAUAACUGGAUAUGUUUAAUAACUUUGAUAAUAAGGAUUCAUACUUUCGAUAAAUCGGGAAAAUGUUAUAGAUCGUUGAUAUGAAUGAUGUGUAUCGUGCAUUAAAAGCAGGAUAAAAUUUUGUCGCGUUAAAGCUGAAACGUUAUGGUAUCUGUGAUUUUUAUAAUUGAAUAUUUUCAUAGGUACGACGUUUCAUAUUGAUAUUAUACAAUAUCGAUAUAAAUAUGUUUAUAAUUCGGUAGUUAUUUCAUCCUGUGGCCUGAAGCCAAGGAUCGUGAAAUCAUCUAUGAGGUAGUCGCAAUCGGGUAAUCUAUCGGACAAUAUGGUAUAGUUGGCAGCUUCUACAGCGCUUUGAAAUUCCCAUUGAGGAUUAAUUUCUCGAUCGAGAACGCUCGUUUCACGACCAUUAGAUCCACGAUUGAUAUCUGGUAACGUAGCACCGCCAUUAUGAUUAUUGAACACCGAUAUGGCUAAUUCCUGAAAAUGCGAUCCGUUUGAUUUCAGCCUUUUUUGGGUGCCGAAUACCAAAGGAGUCAUCUGUCCCAUCGUAGACUCGUUUCGAGUGAGUUUGUCGUGAUAGGGGAUGGAACUGUUUUGUCCUAAGCUCGAACCAAGUGGACUAUCCUUGGCAUAUCCUAAACUCGAACUUGCCGGACUAAUACUGGACUUGUCACUCGCUUGAAAAGUGGCGAGUGGUAAGUUCGCUUGAAAAGUUGUGAGAUUGGUUGGCGUACUUCUAGGUUCAAAUGUUUGAGACGGCGAAGUUAUCACAACCGACUCCGUUGGAUUCGUUUGGACGGACGUUGUUGGAUGCUGCAGGAAUGUCACGAGUUGAGCCACCUUUAAAAGUAAAAUAACACGUUAAAAUAAGAUCUACCGAUUUGAGAACAUCUUUUUUCUACUGUCAUAUAUAUAUAUAUAUAUAUAUAUAUAUAUAUAUAUAUUUUUUUUUUUUUUUUCUAACAUAAUAUUUCUAGCUAAUAUUUGUUUCUAACACGUAUUAUCUACGAACUACUUUUUUUCAAAAUACAUAUAACUCACCGAAAUGCUUAAGAGACUGCCAUGAAAAAAAGAAAGAUUAAAGAAGAAAUUGAGAAAGAGAAAGAGCGAGAGAAGGAAGAGAGAGAAAGAGAGAGAGAGAGAAGGAGAGAUAGAGAGAAAAAAGAGAUAGAUAGAUAGAUUGAGAGAAAGAGAGAGAGAGAGAGAGAGAGAGAGAGAAUCACGUUUUUUUAUUUAGUAAAUGUCAUCGUUAAAAAAUUGUCAACUCACUUCUGGGCUACUGUGUCGCUUGUACCUUCUAAGUAAACGUUCUGCCCAAGAUAAUAAUCUCUGCCAGUCAUCGGGAGGUAACUGUAUAUCCUCGUCCUUUCUGUUAACAAGGACUAAUAUCCUUGCGAGGUCGCGAAGAACGGGUCUAAUUGUAGGCGUAUUAAUCAUAAUUUAUCGUUAAUCGAGUAAUCUAUUCGAGUAGCUUAAUAUUAUUAUUUUAAUUAAAUAUACGAAAUUAUAAAGGGGAAGACUCGUAAAUGAUCGUUACCUGUACGCUUGAAUGCCAACGGCGCCAUCCCCGUUACUUCCGGAGUAAUAUAAUUCUCUAACUUGUCUUCUUGUGUCGUUUAGCAUGGAAAGGAAAGUGUGUCCCUCGCCUCUUAACGUUGCAAGAUGUUUCAGGAAUUCUCCUCUCUCAGCACUGUGAGAAAAAAUCCAUUAAAUUUAUACGUAUAUAUAUAUAUAUAUUAUAUAUGAUACAUAUAAAAUGAAAUAUUUUCUAAUAACGAUAUUAAUAAUAAAUUUAAUUCUUCAUGCGUACUUGUUAAAAAUAUAUAAAUAAUAAAUAAAAAUGAGAAAAGUGUUUACUUUCAUAUUCGUAAAAAAAAAAAAAAAAAAAAAAAGAAAAAAAAAAUUCAAUUUAUAAUCCACCUGUGCUCAAAUUGCCGAACGAUCUUUGUCGCCUUUUUUUUCUUUCUAUGAACGAUAAUUGCGCCGCAUAGUACGAUGAAGACACAUAUGGUUGCACCGGAGACAACUCCCACCAAGAUAGCGACCUGACUACCGGUCAGCCCAAAGAUGUAACCAGUCUCUUUACAAACUCUGCCCAUAUAUUCAUCUCUUGUCGACCAGUCGGCUGUGUGACCAGGUGGACAGCUAUCGACACAGGUUCCUUUGUGCAAUAGGACAGCACAUCUCGCGCACGUGUCACCUCUGCAUCUUUUGCAUCCUCCUGGAUCUUCGACGCAUCCUAGAAAAAACAAAUAAAAAGAAAGAAAAAAAAAAGAGUAAGGAAACCAAAGGAAAGGGGAUUAAUUCCCAAAAAAAAAAAAAAGGAAGAAGAAGAAACAAAAAUAAAAAGAAAAAUCGACUAUAAUGUAGAAUUUGUCCUCUUUCAAAAAUUUUCACAAAACGAAAAUAAAUCUUUGGUAGGAAACAGACAAGAAAGUCUAGUAGAUAUACACAAACACCUACACAUGUAUAUAUACAUAUAUAUAUAUAUAUAGGUAUACCUAUCGGAACAUGUGAAAACUCUCUCUCUCUCUCUCUCUCUCUCUCUCUCUCUCUCUCCCCCUCUAAAGUUAAUCGUUCCAUCGUUUCGAAUAACCGAUCAUCCAUCGUAACUUUCAACAACGAAUUUCAAGUAACAGAAACAUUCGAAAUAGGAACGUGACACCCGGCGAAUUCCAAGCAAGAAGUAGCUCUAACUUCUUGGACCUUACACUAGCACCGAGCGUUGAUCCAUAGCCUCGAGUCAUGCCUUGAUUGCUUGACACACAUACUGGUGCACCUACCGAAGUCACGCUCAGCAAUACUCGUUUUGCGAUAUUGUUGAUAACGAAUACGACUUAUAACGGCCUUUCUGACAGUCUAUAACUAAAAAGGAAAAAAAAAAAGAGAAAAAAAAAAGAAGAAGAAGGAAAAAAAAAGUAGAGCAAAUUAUGUACUUUUUGUCAGUACCUAAACGUUUCAAGUAGAUAGGUAUGUAGUACACAUAACUACAUAGUUGGUAUAUAUCUAUUUGUUCUUUCCUCUCUCUCUCUCUCUCUCUCUCUCUUCUUUUUCUUUCAUCGACGAAAAGAAGAACAAAAGUUGUAAAAAGAGGAACGUUUCAAAAAAAAAAAAAAAAAAAAAACGACGUCUUGUCGAAAGUCAAGAGACUUGUCUUACGACGACGACGAUGACGAUAACGAUGAUGACGACGACGACAACGACGACGACGAAGAUUCGAUGUGUUGUACCACAAGUUAGCAAACUUAUGAGGAAUCCGGUUGGCACUUUCCGGAUUACGUGGGUCUUUUCUACCGAACUCUCUGGCUGCGUUCUGUGUUCCGCUUGUUACUCUUGUGAACACACACGCAAUGUGAACGACUGAUGGUUAAAUACCUAGUAGGUAUAUAACAUUCUCCAGGUUGAGAACACCCGAGUUAUAUGGGGCCUCUUUCCUUCUCUCAUACUUUUAACACGCAUACAGAGAGAGAGAGAGAGAGAGAGAGAGAGAGAGAGAAAGAGACUACUUUUCUAACUAUUUGCUUUAUCGUUCACAUUCACUCGAUCUAAGUCGACAAGAAACUUACCAAAUUUUUCAUCGACUCUACCUGAAAGAAUCUCUAUUUGUUCUUUCUACCUUUUUUCUUUUCUUUUCUUUUUUUUUCUUUUCUUUUCUUUUUUCUUCUCUCUCUCUCUCUCUCUCUCUCUCUCUCUUUCUUCUUUCAUAUAUGUUUAGGUUCUUUCAAUAUUUUCCAUUUGUAACAUCUAAAAAAGAUGACAUUUUCGUUGGUGCGGAAAGAUCGACGUUUAAAAAAUUCUUAAGACCAUGAAUCAUUGCAUGAAAAGAAUUCAAUUUAUUUGAAAAGUAUAUCUACCCGCAUAUAUAUAUAUAUAUAUAUAUAUAUAUAUAUAUAUCUCCAACGAUAUAUAUAUAUGCACAUCACCACCACCGCCACCACCACCAUCAUCAUCACCACACAUUCUGAAUGUCAAGUUCAAAGAGAAAAUCUCGAAACUUAGUCUCACUCGUCACAUUUCACUUUGGAAGGCCUCAUUGCAUCUUCGUUUUUAAGGUCAUUGACCUCGAAUCAUAACGAAGUACCGUCGUCGUAGUCGUCGUUGUAUUCGUCGUCGUCGUCGUCGUCAGUUCGUGUCUGUUUCUUUCGCGUGCAUCGAUGACGUUCGCUUUUAAGAGAGCACAUUCGGUUAAUUAGUGGAUCAAAGGUCAGGGAUAACGCGAUGAUUCUGCUAGCUGAAACGAUCUACGGAAGCUAUAUAUCUAUUCGUCUUUCUCUCUCUCCCUCUCUCCCUCUCUCUCUCUCUCUCUCUUUCUCUCUUUCUCUUUCUCUCAUCUCCUUUCCUGUGCUUCUUCUUCGUUUUAUUUUUCUUCGAUCCUAUCCAUAUGGAAGGAAAUAUAUACACGACUAUAAAAUUGUGUUCGUAAGCACGUGUGCGAGUGCGUGCGUGUACGCGCACGUGUGACUGGCGAUGCCUUGUUUCAAGCACGCUCUUGUAACUAUCGAUAAUAUAAACUUCCUACGUUUCAAUUCCCAGAUACGUCAAGUAGUUCAUAAAAAUAACGCGUUUAAUCUCGUCAUAAUAAAGAAAUAAUUAAAGAUAAAAAGAAAAAGAGAGAAGAAAAAAAGAACAUUUCGAUACGGAUGUUAUAAUUAUUCUUUAACAAAGUCACCAUUGUUUAUUUGACACGAUACACGAGAAGAAUCAUUGAAGAAAUAAGAAGCACGAAGCAAACACACUUUUACAUCAACUAAGCACGAGAAACGGCCGAACAUGAAAACGUUUCUCUCUUUCUCUCUCUCUCUCUCCCUCUCCCUCACUCUAUCUUUCUUCUUUCCUUUCACUUCUAUAACGAAACUGGCAGGUAGAUCGGUCUAAUUGUUACGACCACGUCAUUCUUUCUAAACAAUAAAAAGGGAGUCCGUUCAUAUCGUUGAAAAAAAAUGAAAAAAAAAAAAAAAAAAAAAAAAAAAAAAAAGAAAAGAAAAGAACAAAAGUAAAGAAAAUAAGAAAAGAAAAGAAAAGAAAAGAAAAUAUACUCGACACAGACUGCGAAAGAGACCUUGAUAAAACGCGCUUCUUGUAUGAUAUUUCGAAAUUUAAAAUUUACGAAUAAAAUAAGAAUGAAUGGAAAGUAAAAGAAAAAAAGAAAAAAAAAUUGAGAAAAAAAAAAUAUAUAUAUAUAUAUAUUAAACGUUGUCAUUAAUUAC